UACGAAGGGGGCUAGCGUUGUUCGGAAUUACUGGGCGUAAAGGGCGCGUAGGCGGCGUGUUAAGUCAGCUGUGAAAUCUCCGAGCUUAACUCGGAACGGUCAGCUGAUACUGAUGUGCUAGAGUGCAGAAGGGGCAAUCGGAAUUCUUGGUGUAGCGGUGAAAUGCGUAGAUAUCAAGAGGAACACCUGAGGUGAAGACGGGUUGCUGGGCUGACACUGACGCUGAGGCGCGAAAGCUAGGGUAGCAAACGGG
rnacentral:rRNA from 1 species